GCUUCAUAGUUUGGUGAGGUCUAUCUCAAAGAUGACAUAAAAAGUGGCAGAAGAUGCUUCCAAAUCUCACUCUGUGAUAUAGACACAAAACAUGUGUAGUUCCAACACACUGAAAUGCCAGACCAUAAGACUGAUGUGACUUAGAGACAACUCACAGGUCCAGAGGGAAGAGAAGAUGACCGCUUCCAGCAGUGGCAUCCUGUUGGCCUGGCUGGAUCCCCAGACACAAGUCUCCAGGUGAAGAUCACAUGAAAAUGAUUUUCUAGCAACAUUUCCCCAAAUUAGGAGGUCACAUAUUCAGGCAAUAAAGGUGCCAAACAUCUUUGCUGAAGGAAACUGCCUGUGUGCAACACUGUGUGCAGUUCUGCUAGAUGUGAUCUCAUUCCUGCAUAUGCAUGGGGAUGCAAGAGACAUCUUGCAAGACAUCAAGCAAGAAAUUACAGUACUUUGUUAAUAAGAAGAUGGCAUUUUGGUGCCACUCUCUUUAGGACUUUGUAUCUAUCCUACACAGAGGAAAAGACAGUCUGGUCAAGAAGCUACUCUGAGCUCUCCAAGAAUAAACCUUGUCUCUAACUUGGCAGAGAGCAAUGGGAAUUGAGAGAAAAUAAAAUUUUGUUUUCUAAAUGAAGCCAAGGUUUGAGAAGAGGGGAGAAAAGUGGUCAAGAUAGAGCCAG